UGGGGAAUCUUGCACAAUGGGGGAAACCCUGAUGCAGCGAUGCCGCGUGAACGAUGAAGCCCUUCGGGGUGUAAAGUUCUUUCGACAGGAACGAUAAUGACGGUACCUGGAGAAGAAGCUGCGGCUAACUACGUGCCAGCAGCCGCGGUAAUACGUAGGCAGCGAGCGUUGUUCGGAGUUACUGGGCGUAAAGAGUGCGUAGGCGGCGAGCCAAGUUUGGUGUGAAAUCUCCCGGCUUAACCGGGAGGGUGCGCCGAAAACUGGUUGGCUGGAGUAUGGGAGAGGAAAGCGGAAUUCCUGGUGUAGCGGUGAAAUGCGUAGAUAUCAGGAGGAACACCUGCGGUGUAGACAGCUUUCUGGACCAAAACUGACGCUGAGGCACGAAAGCGUGGGUAGCAAACA
rnacentral:rRNA from 1 species